rnacentral:rRNA from 1 species
AUUGAACGCUGGCGGCAGGCCUAACACAUGCAAGUCGAACGGUAACAGGAAGCAGCUUGCUGCUUUGCUGACGAGUGGCGGACGGGUGAGUAAUGUCUGGGAAACUGCCCGAUGGAGGGGGAUAACUACUGGAAACGGUAGCUAAUACCGCAUAACGUCGCAAGACCAAAGAGGGGGACCUUAGGGCCUCUUGCCAUCGGAUGUGCCCAGAUGGGAUUAGCUAGUAGGUGGGGUAACGGCUCACCUAGGCGACGAUCCCUAGCUGGCCUGAGAGGAUGACCAGCCACACUGGAACUGAGACACGGUCCAGACUCCUACGGGAGGCAGCAGUGGGGAAUAUUGCACAAUGGGCGCAAGCCUGAUGCAGCCAUGCCGCGUGUAUGAAGAAGGCCUUCGGGUUGUAAAGUACUUUCAGCGGGGAGGAAGGGAGUAAAGUUAAUACCUUUGCUCAUUGACGUUACCCGCAGAAGAAGCACCGGCUAACUCCGUG